GUUCCCCGCGAAAGAGAGGCCACCGCCCUGCCCCGAACCACCCGACCCCGUCCCAACCCCGCGUCCUAAAGCUCCUCCAGCAGAGCCCGGUAUUCUUCCUCGCUGAGGGGUGCUUCCAGCGAGGCGGCCUCUUCCGAGGCCUCCAGCUCCCCCGGGGCCUCCGUUUCUGGGAAAGGGUUAGACACAGAUAAACUGUUUCACGUUAGACCUGUAACCCAAGGAGAUGUGUAUAGAGCUGAAACUGAAGAAAUUCCUAAAAUAUUCCAGAUACUAUAUGCAAAUGAAGGUGAAUGUAGAAAAGAUGUAGAGAUGGAACCAGUACAAGAAGCUGAAAAAACUAAUUUCCAAAAUCACAAAGGCCAUGAGUUUAUUCCUACACUCUACCACUUUCCUGCCAAUUGUGAUGCCUGUGCCAAACCUCUCUGGCAUGUUUUUAAGCCACCCCCUGCCCUAGAGUGUCAAAGACGCCAUGUUAAGUGCCACAGAGAUCACUUAGAUAAGAAAGAGGACUUAAUUUGUCCAUGUAAAGUAAGUUAUGAUGUAACAUCAGCAAGAGAUAUGCUGCUGUUAGCAUGUUCUCAGGAUGAACAAAAAAAAUGGGUAACUCAUUUAGUAAAGAAAAUCCCUAAGAAUCCACCAUCUGGUUUUGUUCGUGCUUCCCCUUGAACGCUUUCUACAAGAUCCACUGCAAAUCAGUCUUUCCGGAAAGUGGUCAAAAAUACAUCUGGAAAAACUAGGUGCUGCCUUUUUGGAUUUAUAAGAAAAUGGCUGUCAGUCGUGAUAGAACAGAGUUUUCCUCAUAUGAGUAAGAGGAAGGGACUUUCACUUUCAAGUGGAACGGCCAUCACUAUCAAGAUCAGCUCAUGGAAGGAGUAAAGAAAAUAUCUCAAAAUGAGACAAACUGAAGUUUUGUUUUUUUUUUAAUGACUUAAGUUUUUGUGCUCUUGCAAGACUAUACAAAACUAUUUUAAGAAAGCAGUGAUAUCACUUGAACUUCAGUGCCCUCACUGUAGAAUUUAAAAGCCUUACUGUUGAUUGCCCAUGGUGGACUUGAUGGAGAAAUUAAAUAUCUUUCAUUAUGCUUUACAAAAUACUGUAUAUGUUUCAGCAAGUUUGGGGAAUGGGAGAGGACGAAAAAAAGUUACAUUUAAUCUAUGCAUUUUUGCCAAGCCAUAUUGAGUUAUUUUACUACUAGAGACAUUAGGAAACUAACUGUACAAAAGAACCAAGUUUAAAAGCAUUUUGUGGGGUACAUCAUUUCUAUAAUUGUAUAAUGUAUUUCUUUGUGGUUUUAAAUGAUAAAGACAUUAAGUUAACAAACAUAUAAGAAAUGUAUGCACUGUUUGAAAUGUAAAUUAUUCUUAGAACACUUUCAAUGGGGGUUGCAUUGUCCUUUUAGUGCCUUAAUUUGAGAUAAUUAUUUUACUGCCAUGAGUAAGUAUAGAAAUUUCAAAAAAUGUAUUUUCAAAAAAUUAUGUGUGUCCGUGAGUUUUUCAUUGAUAAUUGGUUUAAUUUAAAAUAUUUAGAGGUUUGUUGGACUUUCAUAAAUUGAGUACAAUCUUUGCAUCAAACUACCUGCUACAAUAAUGACUUUAUAAAACUGCAAAAAAUGUAGAAGGUUGCACCAAUAUAAAAAGGAAAUAUGGCAAUACAUCCAUGAUGUUUUCCAGUUAACAUAGGAAUUACCAGAUAAAUACUGUUAAACUCUUGUCCGGUAACAAGAGUUGAUUCAUAUGGACAGUAUGAUUUAUUGUUUCUUUUUUUAACCAAAUACCUCCUCAGUAAUUUAUAAUGGCUUUGCAGUAAUGUCUAUCAGAUAAGAAGCACUGGAAAACCGAUCGUCUCUAGGAUGAUAUGCAUGUUUCAAGUGGUAUUGAAAGCCGCACUGAUGAAUAUGUAAUAAUAAACAUAUCUGUUAUUAAUAUAGUAAUGACUGUGCUCAUUUAAUGAGAAAUAAAAGUAAUUUAUGGAUGGAUAUCUUUAAUUUUGACUGCAAUGUGUUUUCUCAUGGCUGAAAUGAAUGGAAAACAUACUUCAAAUUAG
rnacentral:lncRNA from 1 species